UACGUAGGGCGCAAGCGUUGUCCGGAAUUAUUGGGCGUAAAGAGCUCGUAGGCGGUUUGUCGCGUCUGCUGUGAAAACCUAAGGCUCAACCUUGGGCUUGCAGUGGGUACGGGCAGACUAGAGUGCGGUAGGGGUGACUGGAAUUCCUGGUGUAGCGGUGAAAUGCGCAGAUAGUCAGGAGGAACACCAAUGGCGAAGGCAGCUCGCUGGGACGGUACUGAC
rnacentral:rRNA from 1 species